rnacentral:rRNA from 1 species
UACGGAGGAUGCGAGCGUUAUCCGGAUUUAUUAGGUUUAAAGGGUGUGUAGGCGGAGAUCUAAGUCAGCGGUGAAAUCCUAUAGCUUAACUAUAGAACUGCCAUUGAUACUGGUUCUCUUGAAUGUACUUGAAGUGGGCGGAAUGUGUAAUGUAGCGGUGAAAUGCUUAGAUAUUACACAGAACACCAAUUGCGUAGGCAGCUCACUAAGUUACUAUUGACGCUGAGGCACGAAAGCGUGGGGAGCAAACAGG